AUUCCCUGAGCUACAUCUCUGCUGACUACGCUCAAGUAUAUUCCAGCAAGGGGGUGAAGAUGUCGGAAAGCGGCUCUGGGAUGGAAGAAGCCACUCAGACGGGUAGCAAAGGAUUGCGUCACACA